UAAUAUUUGUGUUUUUGUACUUACAAAUCUCAACUCAGCAGUGCUUAGUUCUGCUGUCUCUCUCUCUCCUCUUUCUCUCUCUAAAAACCCUCAAAAAAUCCCAGCUGCGAAUUUCACAGAAUAGUACUGCAGUUCAGAAAUCUUGAUUAUGGAAGAUGAGCAAGGUGGUGUGGGUCGAGAUAGUAGUGGUGGCGUUUCAGAGUCGCAUUUGAGUGGUGAUUUGCCCAGUGAAACCCUUGUUGAAAAUAUGGGUACUGAGAGUCGGGUCGAGGAGUCUUGUGAAGAGGGGGAUGGGGAGGAGAUUAUGGUGGAGGUUGUGGGAUCAGAUGUGUUUGUUCACGGGGUUAGUGGUCAGAAAGAGGGCGAUUUUGGGUCUGGAGAAGCUGAGGAUUUGGAGGGUCAUGUGUGGGAGAACAGAAAAGAACCUGAGGGUCAAAACUCUUCAGAAGCUGUGGAUGUAGCGAAUGAUGGGGAUGGGAAUAAGAUGGGGGAAAGUGAGUUAGGGUUCUCGGAAUCAAGGGAUGAAAAGAGUUGCGUUGUUACAGACAAAGUAAACAUCAAGUUUAGUGAAUCUGCUGAUGUUGUGGGUGGUGAAGUUAGUGCAUUGCCCUCAAGAGGGCCUGGUGUUUCAGGCGAUGAGGUCUGGAAUCCUGGAAUUGAACCCAUGGUUGUGUCGUCAUCAGCAGCUACAGAGCUCGUUAGCGUGCAGACUGAAGAAGUUACCGAGACAACUCCUACGGUGACUAGUGAAGAGAAGAAGGUAGAAGAUAAAGCAGUUGAUGAGGAUAGUGCUGAAAUUGUGACAACUGAGCCUUUGAAUCAGCAUGUGGAAACUGUUAUUGAAGGAGAGGUUGGCACUGCAGAAAAAGAAGAGGUAUUGCCCUCAAGUGAUAAUUCUGCAAGUCAUGAUCACUUGCGUGCAGAUGCUGGGACAUCUCAUUGCGAAACAAAUGCCGCACAUGAUGUUGAAGCUGCACCUUCUAAGGUCUCUCACAACCCUAACUAUGAAGGCCUCGAAAAUGUUCAGGUUGAUGGGAUUGGUGGUGGUGUUGGAGAAGUUGGUUUAGUUAAUGCUAGUGCCGGUGAAGAACUCUUGGUGACUAGCGGGCCCGAUGGUAGUCUUGUGGCUAAUGCUGAACGUGCCAGCACUGGUGAUGACGAUGCCAUAGAGGCCAAAAUUACUGAUAACAAAAAAAAUUUUGCUGCAGAGAGCAAGGACUCGAUCCUUAAAGCCAAUGAACUAGCCUCUGAUAUUGAGAAUAAGAAUCAAGGUCCCCUGAAUGAGUUUGAUGGGACAAAGGUUGAGUCAAAUCAUGGGAUCGAAGGUGUUUCACAUGUUGGUCCAGAACCCAUUAAUGACAAAUCUUUAGUCAGUGAGAGAGUGGAAGCUAUAAGUUCGGUAUUUGAUGAUGUGCUGGAUUUCAAAGAUGAAUCAUUGAAUAUUGAUCCACCAGAUUUAACUACUGUAGGCAAUGAUGAAUGCUUGAAGAUUGAUGAAAACUCAGAAACUGAUGUCAUCCAUCAAAAACAUGGUUUCUCAAAUGAACCGACUCAACUGGCUGAUGGAGGUGAUACUGCUGAAGUGAAAAAAGACGAAGGCCCCAAUGUUGAGAUUCAAGGUGAUACAGAGGAAAAUCAGCCAAAUACGAUGAGGUCUAGUUGUCCUGGAGUCGAGGAAAUUGUACAAGCAGAUUCUGGCAUGUGCAGAGACCGACCUGUCAUGGCCACGGCGGUGGGUGAAGUAGUUGACCAAAAAGUUGCAAUCACUCAGACAAAAGUUGUCGAUGGGGAUGUAUCUAGUGAAAAGGGUCAGGACAUUGAUUCUGAAAUAUCAAAGCAGUCUUUAGAGUGCCAAGGAAUUGCUGAAAAUCCAGCACUUGAUGCUUCUGCUGAGGAUAUGCAUCUUUCAACAGAAGUUGCAUGCUCAAAGGCUGAGACAGCUGAUGUCGUGAUGACAGAAGCAGAUGUUUCAUGCGAUAUUCCUGUUGUCCGUACUGAGGUUGGCUUUGAUAAUGUUGUUGAAGGGUGUGGUUCUCCUCGAAGUAAGCCAGAGCAGGCUGCUGUGCUAAUAACUGACACAUCUAAUUAUGAGGUUGACAAGCUUGACACUAUCAACAUGAUGGCAAAUGAAGUCUCUAGCACUACAGCUGGUUCUGAUAUUAUUCAAGUCAACAUCUCGCCAGAUUUAACUGACAAGAUAGAGUUCCAUGUGUCUACUGCUAAUAUAUCUUUGGUUGAUGGAGGUGAGGUUGACAAGGAUUCCGUGUUUGAUAUGGCUACUUUUAGUGAUGAAGUGGAUGAUUCUAGGGAAGCAGAUGACGAUUCUAUAAAAAAUAAUGGCUUUUAUAGUGUUGAGGAUCAUGAUUCUGAAACAAAACUCAUGGAUGUGGAGGAGGAAAGAGAAUCUGACAGAACAUAUCACGGUGAAAAGGAGGUUGAUUCAGAAUUAGCAACUCAAGAACCUACUUCUGAGACUGACAAAUUGAGAUUGUCCAAUGAAGAAAAAGUGAAGCCUGCAAGCUUGUUGAGAAUGAACCAAUCAGGUUAUCUAUCACCUCCCGAAAAUGAGGGUUGUUUUGCCGUAUCUGAUUUGGUCUGGGGUAAAGUCCGGAGUCAUCCUUGGUGGCCUGGACAAAUAUUUGAUCCUGCUGAUGCUUCAGAGAAGGCAGUUAAAUAUUAUAAGAAAGACUCUUUUUUGGUUGCAUAUUUUGGAGAUCGAACCUUCGCUUGGAAUGACGCAUCUUUGCUAAAGCCUUUCGGGUCACAUUUUUCCCAGAUUGAGAAGCAAAGUAAUUCUGAAGCAUUUCAAGAUGCAGUCAACUGUGCCUUGGAAGAGGUUUCAAGAAGGGUAGAGUUAGGUUUAGCAUGCUCUUGUGUUCCAAAAGAUGCCUAUAAUAAGAUUGAAACUCAGGUUGUAGAUAACACUGGGAUACGUGAAGAAUCAAGCCGAAGAUAUGGUGUGGAUCAGUCUAGCCAGGCCUCUAAUUUUGAACCUGAUAAACUUCUUGAGUACAUCAGAGAGUUGGCGCCUCGUGCAUCUUUUGGGGCUGAUAGGCUGGAUCUUGUGAUUGCUCAAGCACAGUUGUCUGCAUUUUGUCGUUUUAAAGGAUAUCGUUUGCCAACUGAAUUUCCUCCGGCUGGGGAAUUGCUAGAAAAUGAUGCAGAAACUGAACAAGUGAGUGAUGAAAUGGUUGCUUCCCACAAACACAAACACACUCCAAAAGAUGGUCCUCAGUCCAGGAAGGAGAGAAGCUUGACAGAAUUAAUGGGUGAGAGGGAAUACUCUCCAGAAGCUGAAGAUGCUGAUGAUCUGGGCAAAUCAAUUUCAAUGUCUUCUGGGAAUAAACGGAAAGCAGUUGAUCCUCUAGGCGAUGGGUCAGACAAAAGGGUAAGCAUCCAUGCUGCCAAAAUAUCCACCCUGACGAGUCAAACUCCUAAGCCUUCUUUUAAAAUUGGUGAAUGCAUCCGUAGAGUGGCCAGCCAAUUAACAGGGUCCACAUCAUUGGUGAAGGGCAACAGUGAUGAAUCCGUAAUUGAUGGUUCUCCAAAGAUUUAUGAGCACUCUGACCGGCGAAGUGUAGUUGUUUCAGCAGAAUCAUUUUCGGUAAGUGAGAUGCUAUCACAACUUCAGCUGGUGGCACAGGAUCCAAAGAAAGGGCACAACUUCCAAAAUAUGGUCCAUACAUUCUUCUUAGGUUUCAGAAGUUCAAUUGCUUUGAAUAGACGAGGUAGAAAGAAAAAGGCUGAAGCAACAAUUGGUGGAUCCGGGGAAGAGUUUGAGUUUGAUGAUGUGAAUGACUCUUAUUGGACGGACAGAAUUGUCCAGAACUAUUCUGAGGAGCAACUGUUGCAUAAUACCCAGAAUGGAGCUGGAAAUCUUCAGCUAGUGCCAUUUGGUGCAGAAAAAUCUGUGAAGCCAGGUCGUAAACCGCAUUCUAGGAAGAGAUUCUCCACCGGGAACUAUCCAACAACAGACACCGAAAUAGAUGAGAGUAUUAAACGAAGAAAGCAAGAAUCUUCACCGGCAGAGCUUAUAUUGAACUUUGCAGAGAGGAACAAUGUACCGUCAGAAAUCAAUCUAAACAAAAUGUUCAGACGGUUUGGACCUUUGAUGGAAUCCGAGACAGAAGUUGAUCAUGACUCUGGCCGUGCUAAAGUGAUCUUCAAACGAGGUUCUGAUGCAGAAGUUGCUCGCAACAGUGCCGAAAAGUUCAACAUUUUUGGGCCAGUUCUUGUUAAUUACCAGAUAGGCUACUCACCACUGAUCUCAGUGAAAAUUUUGCCCCUUACAAUCCCUCAGAGCCAGGAAGAUGUAACUUCAUUGCUAUAGCUCUGGAGCACGAACAUUAACAUCCCAUCAGAUUAUAAAACAUUACUGCCCGAUAAAACGGAAUCUGGUGGCAUCCAAACAUUACAAAUGUGGGGUGGAAGCUUUGAUAAUAUUUUUAGAAGGAGAUGGGUACAGUGGUAACUAUACCAACUCUCUAGGGAGAACCUACAGUCAGGCCCCCUUCUUUUGCUGUCUUAUUUGUUCAUGUGGAGCAGUUGCUACCUUCGUUUGAGCAAUCAAGAACGGCGUCCUUUGCAUCAGCCAGCUAUUGCUCUAUAUUUAACUGGGAACUAGUACAUGGAUCGAAUCCCGAAAGGCUAAGCUACUGCAGAAAUGGUUCUUGGAAUUAGCUGCUUGUAGGAGGUAACCGAACAACGUUGUCUCGUUAUCAAUUGUUAAUUUUGUUUGUACUAAGAGAUGCUACCAUGUUGUAUUCAAGAAAGAACUCAGUGAAGGUGUAUGAUGUGCAUCACUAGCUUUCUUACAUAUAAUCCUCUGUACUGGUUGUUUUUCGCUUGGUAACAAAUGUUUACUAGGAGUAUACAAGGCCACUAAUGCGAUUAUGGAGCAGUCGAUGUUUGUCGUCUUUAGUUAGUGGUGAUCAUAGUACAUCGGCCAUGUUUGGUAAUAGCAUACGGCUCUCUCCGGAGUGUUAGCCACCUUAUGCGUACUCUUGUGAUAAUCUUAACAUAUAUUUCGAUCUGAUUA